UACGGAGGGGGCUAGCGUUGUUCGGAAUUACUGGGCGUAAAGCGCACGUAGGCGGCCAGAUAAGUUCGGUGUGAAAGUCACAGGCUCAACCUGUGAAUGCCGCUGGAAACUGUCUGGCUAGAGUCCGGAAGGGGCGAGUGGAAUUCCUGGUGUAGCGGUGAAAUGCGCAGAUAUCAGGAGGAACACCGGUGGCGAAGGCGGAUCUCUGGGCCAUUACUGACGCUGAGGAGCGAAAGCGUGGGGAGCGAACAGG
rnacentral:rRNA from 1 species